rnacentral:rRNA from 1 species
GACGAACGCUGGCGGCGUGGAUUAGGCAUGCAAGUCGAACGGUAUCAUCCUUUCGGGGGUGAGAGAGUGGCGAACUGGUGAGUAACACGUAGGUUAUCUACCCUCAAGACGGGGGACAACCCAGGGAAACUUGGGCUAAUACCGGAUGUGAGCAACUUUUAGUUGUUUGAAAGGUGGCGUAAGCUGUCGCUUGGGGAUGAGCCUGCGUCCUAUUAGUUAGUUGGUGAGGUAACGGCUCACCUAGGCAAUGAUAGGUAGGCGGCCUUAACGGGUGGUCGCCCACACUGGGAUUGAGAUACGGUCCAGACUCCUACGGGAGGCAGCAGUGAGGAAUCUUGCGCAAUGGGGGAAACCCUGACGCAGCAACGCCGCGUGAGUGAGGAAGGCCCUCGGGUCGUAAAGCUCUGUCAGGUGGAAGAAAUCGAUGAAGGUGAACAACCUCCAUCCUUGACGGUACCACCAGAGGAAGCACCGGCUAACUACGUG